rnacentral:rRNA from 1 species
UUGGAGGGCAAGUCUGGUGCCAGCAGCCGCGGUAAUUCCAGCUCCAAUAGCGUAUAUUAAAGUUGUUGCAGUUAAAAAGCUCGUAGUUGAAUUUCGGGGUCAGCAAGUUGGUCGUGCCACUGGUAUGCACUGGCUUUACUGAUUCCUCCUUCUUGUAGAACCUUAAUGCCAUUAACUUGGUGUUGUGGGGAAACAGGACUGUUACUUUGAAAAAAUUAGAGUGUUUAAAGCAAGCUAACGCUUGAAUACAUUAGCAUGGAAUAAUGAAAUAGGACGAUCGAUCCUAUUUUGUUGGUUUCUAGGAUUGACGUAAUGAUUAAUAGGGAUAGUUGGGGGCAUUAGUAUUCAAUUGUCAGAGGUGAAAUUCUUGGAUUUAUUGAAGACUAACUACUGCGAAAGCAUUUGCCAAGGAUGUUUUCAUUAAUCAAGAACGAAAGUUAGGGGAUCGAAGACGAUCAGAUACCGUCGUAGUCUUAACCAUAAACUAUGCCGACUAGGGAUCGGAUGAUGUUAAUUUUUUAAUGACUCAUUCGGCGCCUUACGGGAAAC